GAAGGCACGACAUUGCUCACAUUGCUUCCAGUAUUUUUUAGCCAGCCAAGUGCUGGCUUUUUUUU
rfam:Serratia sp. ATCC 39006 ctg1, whole genome shotgun sequence.